UCCUCUGUCGGCGUGGAGGACUGCUGGCACGGAACUCUGGGGCUCGGGCCCUACCCGAUGGGUCACAAAGAGGAUCAUAGAGACGAGAAGACAGAGGGAAUUCCAGUCCAGUGUAACAAAACGAAGCAAGAGAAAAGAAACUAAGGCAGUGUUUUGAAGGAAGAUAUCUUCCUUGGGGCGUCAUCCGCUGUGCUGAGUCCCGCUAAGCAGUCCUUGACGUGGCCUGCUUUCUCCAUUUCCCAUCUGAUGUUUCUGCCCAGACCCCCGGGAGCCCGGGCCUGGCCUCUAGCUGGCUCACAAGACGUUCUGGACUGAAGGGAGAGGCACUUAGGCAAAAGUCUCGGUUGAAGCAACUGGGGCCAAUAAGGACCAGAAACGGAUGAGAUGCUCCAGCAAGAAGCAGAGGGCCUGAAAGAGAAAUCUGGACCCCAGACACAGGAAGAAAGGCAGAAGACAGCCAGCGUCCAGGCACUUCAAAGAAACCCACUUGGAAGCCAGGACUUGGGGAGCUAGGCAAGGAUGUCUCACAAACGCAGUUCCCCAAGUGUGUUUCUGCAAAACUCCUUGAAGGUUCUGAGGGGGGCGAACAGGAGAGAACUUCCAGACGAGGAGCCCUGGUGUUAUGAGCCACUGCAUUUUCACACGCCCUCCCGAGUGUCUGCCUCUGAAGACACUGCCUUGUGCACUCUCUGUUGAUGAAGGGCUCUUCCCGCCCCUGGGCCUUACUUACACAGUUCACAGUGAGAGGCGCGACACAGGAUUCACCGUGAUCCUGAGCAAGAGGGACUUUGCAGAUGUGAUUACGUUAAGGAUCUUGGGAUGGGGAGACCCUGGAUUAUCUGGGUGAGCCCAGUGUAAUCACAAGGGUCCUUCUAAGAGGAAACCGGAGGAGACAGAGGAGAAAAAGGCAAUGUGGCAACAGAAACAGAGAUCGGAGCGAUAUGGCUGGAAGCCAAGGAAUGCCAGCAAACUCUAGAAGCUGCAAGAGACAAGAAACGGAUUCUCCCCUGGAGCCUCCCCAAGGAAGGAGCCCUGUCGACACCUUGACUUUAGCACAGUCAGCCUGCUUUUGGACUUUGACCUCCGGAAAUACAGUCCUGAGACCCAAGUCAUCUGGCUUCGUAGAGGACCAUGGACCAAGCAACCCACGCAAUCAAGAAAAUUUCUAGAGCAAGGGUUUGGAGAUGGGAGAGCCCCAUGCCUAUUCAGCUCUUUGAAAGCCAGUGAAUCAUAAUCAGGAGCAAGGGAACUGAGAAUAGAGAGAAUCCACUCUUUCCAGUGUUUACUUUUAGCAAGGCAAACAUAUAAAUUCUAUCAUAUGAGAAUAGCGGGACACAGACUUUGGUUCAAAUCUUGAUUCCACUACCUUCUUGAACAUUAUCGUUUAAACUUCAUGAGGUUCAGUUUCCUAAUCUGUAAAGGAGAUAGUAAUACUUCACUGCAAGGUUGAGGUGGGGAUUAAAUGAGAUAAUAUACGUGGACGGGACCCCUGGG